rnacentral:rRNA from 1 species
GAUGAACGCUGGCGGCGUGCCUAAUACAUGCAAGUCGAGCGGAAGGACGAGAAGCAUGCUCGUCUGAUGUUAGCGGCGCACGGGUGUGUAACAUGUGGAUAACAUACCUAUAAGACUGGGAACACUUCGGGAAACCGGCUCUAAUACCGUGAAAUAUUUUGAACCGCAUGGUUCAAAAGUGAAAGACGGACUUGUUGUCACUAAUAGAUGGAUCCGCGCUGCAUUAGCUAGUUGGUAAGGUAACGGAAUACCAAGGCAACGAUGCAUAGCCGACCUGAGAGGGUGGUCAGCUCCACUGGAUCGGUGACGCGGUCCAGACUCCUACGGGAGGCAGCAGUAGAGAAUCGUCCGCAAGUGGCGAAAGCCUGACGUAGCAACGCCGCGUGAGUGAUGAAGGUCUUCUGAUCGUAAAACUCUGUUAUUAGGGAAGAACAUAUGUGUAAGUAACUGUGCACAUCUUGACGGUACCUAAUCAGAAAGCCACGGCUAACUACGUG